rnacentral:misc_RNA from 1 species
CAGAAAUCGUCACAACAGUCAGAUAAGUCACUACUACCAAUUCAGCAAGCCUCCCCUUUUAAGACCACUGAAAGAUUAAGAAAAAAAUUCAAUAACAACACCGCCCAGGAAACUGAAUUCAAAAAGUUAUAAUUGACGACGCGGCCAGGAAUGAUGAACAACUCGACAUCUGCCCAAGGAAGAGCAACGGGAACUGUGACCAGCGUUGAAGCUGUUCUCUGGGGGACUUCGUUCGGUGUCGUAGCCUUUAUGAUCAUCUUGUCUAAUAGUGUCUCCAUUGCUGCGUUCGUCAAAGCAAAACCUCGUCGCAAGCAUACUCAUUACUUUCUCAUCAACUUGUCCGUUGCUGAUUUCAUGGUCGGAACUGUAUCGGUGCCUUUGUUCAUCUCCUAUCUUGUGAAUCCACAAAUGUGGACUAGCAGCCUUACCAUGCCAAUGGUUCAUUCUACAGUGGAUAUUCUCUCAGGACUAACGUCUGUCUUCACACUGGCCAUUGUAUCUAUAGAAAGACUAUUGGCUGUAUCCAUCCCUUUCAAGUAUCGUUUAAUUCCCACGUAUGCUUACUUCUGCUGUAUUGCAGCCACGUGGGGUCUCUCUGGAAGCGUUGCCGCCAUGAGUAUCGCAUUUUACUUGCGGAUUGUGAAAGAAGCUUUCUACAUUGUUGUAAUUCUUUCCCUGUCGCUGUCCCUGUCUGUUGCCUGUUUUGCUUACAUAGCUAUCAUAUAUAAAAUCAAUCAGAAAAACAACAGCGCAAAGAACGCGAAGGAUUUAACAGUCGAGCGUAGACUAAGCAUGACCUUGUUUUUCAUCACUACCAUUUUUGUCGUAUCGUGGCUUCCAUUCCAGCUCGUCUUCAUUUUGGUCCACUUCUGUAAGACGUGCAGAUUUUCCGUGAACACUGUGUUCUUUACUAAGCUAUUGCAUUACAGCAACUCGUUUAUGAACACAGCAGUGUAUAGUUUCAGAAUCCCGGAAUUUAAGGAAGCAUUAAAGGAGAUUUUUAGUCGGUCUUCGUCCCGCAGCGGAGUCAACGAUAUGCACUUAAAAGAAAUCACUUACGACAGCUCUACGUCUGUAACUCGGUUGACUCUGCAUAGCCCACUGAUAAAUUCGAAUAAAACCUCAUCGUCUUCACUAAGCAAGACUGUAGAAGUGAGUUCUAUGGAUGGAAAUCAAACAAUGGCUAACAGCCUGUUAAGGAACGUUUAGACUGAAAUCACAGAGAAUGAGUUCGCUAUGUAUCGUUAUAAAGUUUUCAAACAUACAUUUAUCAUCUCUAUACCUAGUACCAAAAGAAUGAACUGAUCUUUGCUUUAUGCUCACGUUCUCGCCUUUCUACCUUUUUGAUAGAACUGUUAUACAAUUAUUUAGUUAGUGACAUAUGUUCUGCCAUCAUUUGAUGAAUAUUUCAUCAACAUAAUUGAUUAUCAAAAUCUUACCUCAGAUUGGCAGGGUUAGCCGGUACUUCAAAUCAUUAAGUGUCAAAUCGCGAAAAAAAUAUAAAAGUAUAUAUCUGUAGCCACGAAGAAGGACAUUAUGAUAGCAUAAACAUUCAAGAAAUAGUUUAAAUAUUGCCGCCUUGAAGACAGCUGAACUAAUCCAAUCUUAGACAAAAUCUCGAUUUCUGAGAGAAUUUUUUCUUCAGACGUCAGGAAUUUAUUUGUUUACUUUAACUUUUACCUAAUUAAGAGUAAAAGCAAUGAACAAACCACAGAAGUAAAAAUAAACUGAUUUGCUUUGA